GCAAGUCGAGGGACCGGCGCACGGGUGAGUAACGCGUAUGCAACCUGCCCUUCACAGGGGGAUAGCCGGGAGAAAUUCCGACUAAUACCGCAUAGUGAAGGAUGGGCAUGCGUGAUAUUAGGUAGUUGGCGGGGCAACGGCCCACCAAGCCUACGAUAUCUAGGGGUUCUGAGAGGAAGGUCCCCCACAUUGGUACUGAGACACGGACCAAACUCCUACGGGAGGCAGCAGUGAGGAAUAUUGGUCAAUGGACGAGAGUCUGAACCAGCCAAGUCGCGUGAAGGAAGACGGAUUGUGGUUUGUAAACUUCUUUAGUGCGGGAACGUGUACCGCAAGAAUAAGCAUCGGCUAACUCCGUGCCAGCAGCCGCGGUAAUACGGAGGAUGCGAGCGUUAUCCGGAUUUAUUGGGUUUAAAGGGAGCGUAGGCCGUGAGGUAAGCGUGUUGUGAAAUGUAGGCGCCCAACGUCUGCACUGCAGCGCGAACUGCCCCACUUGGUGCGCGCAACGCCGGCGGAACUCGUCGUGUAGCGGUGAAUGCUUAGAUAUGACGAAGAACCCCGAUUGC
rnacentral:rRNA from 1 species